rnacentral:misc_RNA from 1 species
AUAAAACCUAAAGACAAAAUAAUAAUUUACACAAUAGAAAUUGAUGAUAAAAGAAAACAAGAACAUUUCUCAACUGCCUUACAGUAAAAAUUCAGCAUCAACCUCAGAAUAGAUCUCACAAGAGACAUUAAAAUAUUGUUUUGUUACACAAAUCCAUUCAAAAUACAAGCUACCGACUGCAGCACAGAUAAAUAGGCAAUAAUUAAUUAACUACCACCAACUAUACAUCUGUGUAACGCUCCAUUUGUUCAGCUUAAUACACACAAAGUCAUCGUAUCACACAAAGAUUAUUCCAGGAUAUACAUUUCGAAACAGCCCCAGGAAUCUUCACUCUUUCAGGCUGUUCGAUAAUGCAAGCUGCUUGUUUGCUCAUCAUGGCAAAACCAACUUCUGCAAAGCUUGCAUUAAGACGAAAAUAAUCCGAUUGACAGCUUCUUUAACUUUAAAAAGGAAUCACGCUGCACUAAAGCAGUUUUCCCAUGUUCCAUAUUUUGAGCUGAAGCUUCCUCCUCCACUCUGCUGUGCAUAAUCGGAAAUAACAGCUCGGGCACAAACAUCCCAUGUUCUUGCAAUUUCCCCAAGUGACAUGGGUUGUGAGAGGCUGCGGAGACAGAUGCUAAACCUUGACUUAGCCUUUACUGAAAGAUCCUCGUACUCCUUACUGUUGAAGUAGCAAGACCCCAGUUGAUUAACAGCAAUUAAAAGGAAAUAUUCUAUUGCAAGCAGGAAUGAAUAGAGGCAAAAAUGAAAUAUUAUACUGUUCAUCAUAUCCAAUUUCACUGUUGCACAAAGAACGAGACGUAAAAAAUUUAAGCUAAACCAUGCUGGCAUACUUCAUACAUAGCUUAUGAACAAAGUUGCUUGAGACUUAUUUAAAUCACACUCCUUAAAAAUGGUCAAAACUUUUUCUUAUUGUGCCAAAGUUGGAUUAUAUUAAUUCUUCAUUAGCAGACAGCAGAAUUCUAAUCCUUUUAACCAGUUGAUCAGAUAGCAUAAGACCAAGUCCAAGGAUACCCAAACAACAACUUAAACUAUUCCAUCUGGAAUGUCUAAUUUAAUCUAGGCAUCCAAGAACAGGUAGAGUCCUCCAACGUUUUAUCAUCACGAGGCAUCCACCAUGUAAGAAUACCACAUUGAAAGUUCCCAUCUCCAUAUGAAUAGAUGCCCCACUCACCAAAAUUUCUGACAAUGCCACUGAUAAUAAAAUUAGAAUGCUGUGUUCCCUUACCUGAUUUCAACCGGUAAUUUGUCUAAUAGAAUUGGAGAACAAUUAGGAUAAUUUGUAGGCACGAGCAAUCUAAGAGGCUGAAUUGGUGACAUUUGUGCUGAAGCAUACUGUGAUUUCAAAUUUGGACUAAGAGCUACAGCAUUGAAAGAACACUUAACAAUGGUUCCUUCACUCCCUUCGGCAGCAGCAGCCGCUGCAGUUGGAUCAACAUCUUCCUCACUAAUAUCAACCACUGUGUCUAUAAGUCGCUGAUUUAUUUCCCGUAUCUCUUCCAAAAGGGCAUGAUUAGCCUCAAUUCUAGGCCUCUUGACACUUGAUGUUGCAGUAGACUCCAAAUCAGAUGUCUCUGGACCAUUCAACUGCUUAAAGCUGUCAGUUAUGCUGCUAGCUGAUGAUACAACAUUCAAGGGCAUGGCGCUGGUAUAUCGCUUCAUUUUCCUCGUCCCAGUCAUUCCAUCGUGGGUCACAAUAUUUCUUGCCUGAAGACGACAAUUUGUCAUUGCUACCAAAUCCUCACCAACUGCAGCUCUAGACCCAUUACCUGGGGCUGAUCCGGCAAUUCUGUUUAUCAUACUGACAACUGAGCCAAUGUCACCGACUGAGGCACUCAAUGCAUUAGGGGACAUAGACUUAACCGCUUUAAUCAAGCGCUCAAGAGGUUGCUCUGUGACACUUGACUUGCCAGAAGCAGUGGUUAAAGCAUUGCCAUGUGCACCAUCAGAACCGGUGAACUCUGCAAGCAAAGGUGAGGCUGAUAUCCCAGGAGUGCCAAUUGCAAGGGAUGGAGCAGUUGCUUGAGCACCAGUUGUUUGUUGCUGUCCAACAUUUCCAGCAUUUGAAAGAGAGGAAAUACCAGAUACUGGUUUCUCAGAAUCUCCUGGAAUAGGGGAUGGAGCUAAAGGAGUUGAAGGAGAUGGGACAACAAAAGGAGAAUUUGCAGACUGUAAAGGGGUUCCGGUUUUUGUUAGAGAUGAUGGUAGAUUUUGCUGAUCAACUUGUGGAGAUGAAUGCUGAGAUAAUUGAGGGGAGGCAGCCUGAAGCAGCUGAGUUGAAGAAAUAGGAAAUGAAGAUCCUGAUUUCAUCUGUUGAUGGGGAUAAGUUGUGCGCUGACCUACAGGGAGGUGUUGCUGAAAAACACCUGGCUUAACACCCAUCCCCUGUCUGAUCUUAAGCUCAUUGACAUCAUUCAUCUGAUGAACCUGUGGCAUUUGGUGCCCCUGCAUUUGUGAAGGCAUCUGCUGCUUUGCCUGCUGGUGCAAUUGCUGCUGCUGCUGUUGGUGCAACAACUGCUGCUUCUGCAUGAACUGUUGCUGCAUCUGGCGCUGUUGAAAUUGUUGUUUGAGCUGUUGACUCUGCAAGAUCUGUUGUUCUGGCUGUUGUUUUAGAUGCUGAUGUUGAAGCAUAUUGGGAUUUGACUGAAGGGGAAUAUUUGGCUGCAGCAUAUUUAACCCACUCUGUGAUGACAAAUUGUUAAUAUUGGCCUGUUGGGCAGCGCUCACAGGAUUCUGUUGUAGAGAUCCUACUACUGGCUGCUGCAAUGAGCUCAUUGCAUUUCCUUGGCUUGAAUCUAAAUUGGACGUUGGCUGCAGGGAAUUCAUCAUGUUUGGCUGUGAUGUGGAAAACCCUGAUAAAGAAGGCAGAGAAUUAUGCUGCAAACUUGACAUAUUGUUCUGCUGCAGUGUUGGUAGAGAACCUUGCAAGCUCACUGAUUGCAUUUGAGGGUUCAUUUGAUUGUCAUGGGACUGCACUUGAGGAACUUGAGAUUGUGGUUGCUGGAUGUGGGGCUGGGGAAGUUGUCCUUGUUGAAGGGGCUUCCUGGGUCUAUUGGUGUUUAUAAAAUUUAUAAUCUGCUUCUCAUA